rnacentral:lncRNA from 1 species
GUGUAAGAGACUAUUCUUUUAUAUGAUUGACUCAAAGUUUGCUGAGGAACAAGUCCAGGCAAGUCCUGGGCAAAGGUAGAGAAAUCUUUUGUCUUGAGGACACUGAUGGACAGGUCCUGGCUAAGGAUUGUGAAAUCCCCUAAGGAGCACAGAUGGACAAGGCCAGGGGCAACGAGAGAGAGAGAUAAGCUGCUGCUAAUGGCUGGGAAACGGUCUUUUUGUGUGGACUUAUCUCGAGGAAAAUGGCCAUCUCAGGAGGUAUGCACAUGACUCUUGCUCAAGCACCCAGGAAUGUCACGUAGGCAGGAGAAAAUGGAGGAUAAAAGAGGGUCCAACAACCACAGCUGUGUGGAGGCUGAUCUCUCACCGCAACACAGAGGCUGAUCUCUCAUGAUCUCUCACCACGACACAAGCUUCCUGCCUUCAGAUCCCUCUCUACGGACCAUUUGCUGACGGACUUCCCUGGACCUGCUACCUGAGACCUGCUGCUUCCUCCCUGACCUGCACCCUCUCGUUGCCCAAGACCGGCCUCGCUGCUCCUGCCCUUCGGCCUCGGACCGUCGGAACAUCGUGCAACGGGACUACUGCCGGAUCCUGGUGUCUCUUCCUGCAGAAGCUGACAGCCCAUGGCAUGGACUGCUACACUCUUUGCUGAUGUCAACGGUUUAAGGGCUGGUCCGGCCCGGUUCCGCAACUAGUGGGGCGGAGGAAUUUCACAAAAUCCGC